rnacentral:lncRNA from 1 species
UUGGUUCUUCAGAUAUGAGUCUCAGAUGAUUUUUAGGUCUCAGAUGAUUUGUGGUUCCGAUUUCAAGCCGAAGCUUUGAUCCUGUGCUCCGAGAUGCACAGCCAGCCAGUCUUGUCUGCAUCAUUUGCAUCAUAGCAUGUUUAUUUUCAAAAAAAAUAUGCAAUAAAAAAAAUUGAAAAAAGAGAAAAAAAGAAAAGGAAAAAAACUAAUUUCCG